AAUCCAACUCCGCGAGAACCCUCCCACAUUGACAAGACCUAAAGCGUCCGCUAGCUCACGAGGACUGCACCACGGGAGAAUCGGUCGUCGUCGUUGGGACUUCGCGGUGGCUGCUCCUCGGUGGUUCUGGGGAUUAUCGGAGGCGGAGGGCGUGCCUUAGCAGGGAGCACGUUGCGACCGGAGCAAGUUCGCCGACGGGCAAGCUACUGAUGAUCCGGAGGUUCAACAGGAGAAGAAAAUGCGGUCGAAGAGGAGCCGCCUAACGAGGAGUUCGACUUGAUCUUGGUGGCGUCUCCCAGUCAGCUUUUGUGUCGCCGGGGAAAUAAUAUUUAGUUCGUUUUAUAUUAAUCAUUCAUUUUGUAAGACUUAUGCUAUGUAAUAAGUACAUUUAUAAUAUUUAUGACAUUUAUCUC